rnacentral:ncRNA from 1 species
AUUCAGGUGCCCCUUUCGCGAUUGAUGGGGGAUAAUCGGGAAUCCGGUUGAAAUCCGGAACGUGCCCAACGCUGUGCGGUGGACGUCUUGACCCUCGGGGCCUCACGGCCCCGGCCACUGGAGCAAUCCGGGAAGGCGGGCAGGGCGGUUGAAGCCAAGUCAGAAGACCGGCCUGAUGCCA